rnacentral:rRNA from 1 species
GCAGUCGAGCGGACCGACGGGAGCUUGCUCCCUUAGGUCAGCGGCGGACGGGUGAGUAACACGUGGGUAACCUGCCUGUAAGACUGGGAUAACUCCGGGAAACCGGGGCUAAUACCGGAUGCUUGAUUGAACCGCAUGGUUCAAUCAUGAAAGGCGGCUUCGGCUGCCGUUUACAGAUGGACCCGCGGCGCAUUAGCUAGUUGGUGAGGUAACGGCUCACCAAGGCGACGAUGCGUAGCCGACCUGAGAGGGUGAUCGGCCACACUGGGACUGAGACACGGCCCAGACUCCUACGGGAGGCAGCAGUAGGGAAUCUUCCGCAAUGGACGAAAGUCUGACGGAGCAACGCCGCGUGAGUGAUGAAGGUUUUCGGAUCGUAAAGCUCUGUUGUUAGGGAAGAACAAGUACCGUUCGAAUAGGGCGGUACCUUGACGGUACCUAACCAGAAAGCCACGGCUAACUACGUGCCAGCAGCCGCGGUAAUACGUAGGUGGCAAGCGUUGUCCGGAAUUAUUGGGCGUAAAGCGCGCGCAGGCGGUUUCUUAAGUCUGAUGUGAAAGCCCGCGGCUCAACCGGGGAGGGUCAUUGGAAACUGGGGAACUUGAGUGCA